rnacentral:tRNA from 1 species
GGAGGUGCAACUCUGCAGUACAGUGCUUGCUUAACAAGCAUGAGGCCCUGAGUUCAAAGCCCAGUACCACCA